GACGAACGCUGGCGGCGCGCUUAACACAUGCAAGUCGAACGGAAAGGCCUGCUUUCCCUUGUGGAUUGCGGGUACUCGAGUGGCGAACGGGUGAGUAACACGUGAGUGAUCUGCCCCCAACUUGGGUAUAAGCCUGGGAAACUGGGUCUAAUUCCCGAUAGGACGGCAGGGUGGUGCCGGUGGUGGAAAACGAUUUUCUAGUGGUUGGGGAUGAGCUCGCGGCCUAUCAGCUGGUUGGUGGGGUAAUGGCCUACCAAGGCGGCGACGGGUAGCCGGCCUGAGAGGGUGGACGGCCACAUUGGGACUGAGAUACGGCCCAGACUCCUACGGGAGGCAGCAGUGGGGAAUAUUGCACAAUGGGCGGAAGCCUGAUGCAGCGACGCCGCGUGGGGGAUGACGGCCUUCGGGUUGUAAACUCCUUUCGACCGCGAGGAAGCCACCUGGUUGGAAGGGUGGUGACGGUAGUGGUAGAAGAAGCACCGGCUAACUACGUG
rnacentral:rRNA from 1 species